UUUUUUUCUAGUUACUUAGAUUUGUGGAGCUCUAAUUUGAUUGUGGGCAUCCUUUAUAAGGCUUGUUCCACCUUCUCCUGUGGAGCUAUACCAGCUGUGACUCCUGUUUUAAGAGCUAUGUUCUCUUCUCUGUUGCAGACCUAUGUUAUAUCUGCCUUAGUGCAUGGGCUGCUGGUCAAUGCUAACAGCUGGCUCUCAGGGAAAAAAGAAAAACCAUCUGUGGCAUCUGCCAAUUUCUGUGGUGUAAAUACUCUGAGCUCUGCCAAUUUCAAGCCAUCCAUCUGACAUUGCUGAACCCAAAGUUGGCAAGGGAUGUGCACAAUUGCCUUUUGCAAGCAAGCUUCUGCAAAAGACUUGAGACAGCUCACAAUGAAGUACUCUGUAUUAGGCAGGGUAAUAUUGAUUGCAAGUGACAGAAACCCAAUCAGAAACUCACUGGAGUCAUGAGGAACACUUAUUGGCUCAGAGUAAAGGCAAAAUAGACCUUCAGAGAAAUAAAGUCUGGGAAAUUGACUAGAUCCUCACUGAAAGAACUACUAAAGGAUGUACUUAUGGAAGAAGAAAAUUACAAAGUGAAAGAACUGGGAUGCAAGAAGUAAUGGUGAGCAUGGAAUUUGGCAAAGAUUCAAGUAAAACAAAGCAAGGACU
rnacentral:lncRNA from 10 species